CGGCCUACCUCUCCCAACUCCCUAGCACUCCCGGAUCUCAAAAUAAACUCCCUAGCACUCCCUCCCUGCGCCGCCGCCCAUCGAUCUACCACCUAUUACGGAUCAGUCGGCCACCACAACCUCCCUUCCCAGUCGGCCGCCACAGCGCCACCACCCCCUCCCCCGGCAGCCAUGCACAUCGGGAGGCGACCACACGCUUGGUGGGUCUCGGCCUCCCUCCUCUCAUCGUCCAAGGCCAGGAGCUCCCUUCCCUGACCGAUCUGACGGAGAGAGGGCUAGGCCUUGCCACUCAGAUGGUCGAUGUGGCCAGAUCCGAUCGGGGGAGCCGCCAUAGAGCCGACACCUCGGCGGCACAGCAUCAACCCGACAGAAGGUGGGUGCUCGAGCUCAUCCAGCAGCUCGUCAUCGACCAGGAGGCCUCUACCUCGACUGCAACCGUCCGUGGAUCUCUAUUGCAAGCACCUUGUAUCUAUUGAUGUUCUUCCGCCCAUCUAAAAUCCACAUGUUUUUUACGGGACCUAAAUUCCACAUGUUAUAUGAGUGGUACAGCUGCAUGGAUUGGCGAUAUUAUUUUGGCUUGGAUUCAAAGUGGCAAUCUGGCGAUAUGAGUAUUUGUACAAACCGCCGAGGACCUCAAAUUCACAUGUUUCAGGCCUGAUGAGUAUCAAAUGUCAUGAGAAAUUCAAGAAUUGCAUGGGAAGGGUAAAGGCGACUAGCAGAUUGGGUUCUCCAAGGAACGCCAAUACGAACUCACUUUUUUGCAACACACAUGCUCAGCCAAUUGGGCAGCCAGCUGGGAGGUAGACAAUACAUUUUUCCUCUUUCACAAAUAAAAUAUUUUGAUGCUCAAGAUUGGAUAUUAAGGCAUUAUUUUAAAUCAAUUUAUUGAUCCAAGGUCAUGGAAAGAACUAUUUUUUUCUCUUGUUGCAACACACAGGCUCAAAGGUACAGGUGCGCGAACCCCUACUUAUAUAUAGGCAUUUUCACGUGUGUGUUGGAGCUUUGUCUGAUCGUAUAUGCUGAUUAGUGCAUGGGUCCUUGAUUGAGAAUGCUUCGAUGGAUAGGGGAUUCCAUGAAAGAGUUGGUGUGGAUUAAUAUCCUUCGGGUUUUUGCGUGGCGUGGCCCUGACAUUUAUCAGGGACUAGAAUAUAUCUGAAUUGUGUGUAGCGAUUGUCCAUCUACUUAGUUAUUGUAGGCAUUCUGUUUCACAUAAAUAUAGAUAUAUUUGAAUCAUGAAUAACUACAUGUCCACUCUUCGUCCAAAGUUUUUGCUUAUGCAAUAUGAUUGGACUAUUUAGUUCGCAUCCUUCUCCCUUUGCAGAUUAUAAUGCAUUUUGAAAUUGUUCAUGUGCUUCAUUUUUGCACUCUUGCUACUCUCUGGAGAAAUUAUUUGCUCUACCUAAAGCAUGGCUCCUAUGUUGGUAUUCAUGGCCAAUCUAGCUAUUUUAUGUUUAGUAAAUUGUUUGCACUAAUGUACAGAGCCUUCUAAUUUUUUUGAUCCGUCCCAGUAUCCUGACCCAUUGUUUGCAUUUUACUUACACAUGCUCUAGAAAUUACACAGUAUGUAGCACAAGAUUAUACUGCUGAAUUGUUGAUGAUAUUAGUGGGCUCAAUCUUGUGGUGUCCUUACUCUGAAAACAACAUCCGACAUCGAUGAUUAUUGUUACCCCUACAGAUGGUUAGAUUUUGAAGGCUCUGUACUCGAAAUCAUAUGGGAAUUUCAUGUUGUUGCAUCCAGGUGCUGGAAUUCCUCACAUUGGAGUGAAAACAAUUAUGUCUAUGCAUGUAGCAGCAAGGUGAGCGCUUGUAAUUAUUGCAAGACUUAUUUUCUAGCAAGUUAAUCAUGGCCCUACCAACAUGCUCGGUGAUUUGGACAAUAUUGUUUUUUUGGGGAGGUUGGUACAAUAUCACACUCACCCUAAUUGGAAUGAUUAAAUAUUCAUGAUCCUUUAAAGUUUCCAGGAUACUUCAAUCCUUAUUUUUUACUGAACACUUUAAUUCAGUCACAAAAUUACACACUAAAUUGUGAGGGUUUCAGAAAUUUGUAGCACUUAUCACCUUUUGGAAAACUGGAAGUGGGUCAUCAGUAGGGAUUUUGUUGAGGUACUAUCAUGAAUUAACAGAUGAUAUAUUUUUUCUAUUGAUUUUUUUGUGUAAGAAAUUCUGGACCUUAUAUAUUAUGGAUACAUAGAGUUUUGCGGGUAACCUGAAUUACUAUUUUUGUCCUUUCCGAGCUCUUUGUUAGGACUUAAUAUUUGGGUACAUCCGUCGUUGAAGUAUAAAGCAAAGAAGCACACAACAACUUCUGAAGCCUUCUUAUAUUUUCGGAUCCUUGUCGAGUCUGUUCAGUCAUAUAAUGAUACACCACUGACAGGGGAUGAGGCAGGGGAGGGGUGCCGUUAUUGCAUACAAGACAUGACUUCCACUACAAGAAACACUUAAGAAGAAUGAGUGCCUUUUAGGCCCAGGUCAUAUUCAAACAACAAUUUGCUAUCAUGCUCUCGCCAUUGCAUUCAGCUGUAUGAGUGCAUACAAGCUUUCAAUUCAGCAUGAAACACAGACACAUGAUAUACUGGUAAAAUAGUUAGGGUCUGAUGAUUCAUGAACAAAAGAUUCAUAAAAUUGGUUGAAUCAUUUAAGGAGCGAGAACAGCAAGUAUGUGAUGAAAAAUUAUUUCCCAUGGUUGUUUCACUCUUGGUUCAGGGAUUCUUGCACAUUAUCAAAGUAGCAACUUGUCAAGGUCAUUGCCAAAUGCCAACCAAUGUGCCAGCAUGGGACCGGGGAAAGGGAAAGACCAUGGAGGUGCAAGUCUGAGAUGAAGAGAUGGCGACACAUAAUUGAGCUAGAGGCAACAACACUCAGGCCAACAGAGGAAGGAGAUGGAAGGAGGAAGAAAAAGUCAUGGCCGUGGGGAUAAGAAUGAGUGGCUCACACCAUUAGUACUAGGGAUAAGGUUGGUAAAAAAGAAAGGAAACAUCGGCAUUGUGUGAGCCAACAUGAAACGAGCGCGGUGUGAUUGGGGUUGGCCGUUUUGAAUCGUUUUCCAUUCAACUACUGGUUGCUCGGUUUCAGCAAAAAAAAAUUGAGUUGCCAAUAACAUAUUUUUGUAUUUGAUAGUAUGAUGUGUGUUAGUUGAUUGUCAAAAAAUAUGCAUUAUUUAAGAUGUGCAUUGUUCUCA